UACCUCAAGUGAUGUUUCGUGGCAUGCGUCAGCGAACAGUGAUCUUGUCACCUUGGAUGGGCAGUCGACAUUAGUUGAUGUGGGCUUUGUGUGGCGUCGCUCAAACUUGCAUUACUCUCUCUUUUCCUCCCACCGGGUAGGGCAUAUUUAGCUCCAACUUUGCAACCUCAGCUCAGGCAAGAACACCCACUGAGUUUAAGCAUAUAAUUAAGUGGAGGAAAAGAAACUUACAAGGAUUCCCCUAGUAGUGGCGAGUGAAUCAGGAAGAGCCCAACAUGAAAAUCGGGUGGCAGCGUCCCCUGAAUUGUAAUCUGUAGAAGCAUCCUCAGUGGCAGACCUAGGCCAAGUCCCUUGGAAGGGGGUUCCUGAGAGCGUGACAGCCCCGUCGGGCUGGGAGCCUGCCGCAUCAUGAGGCGUUGUUGGCGAGUCAAGUUGUUUUGGAAUGCAGCCCUAAUUGAGUGGUAAAUUCCAUCUAAGGCUAAAUAUAGGCGAGAGACCGAUAGCGAAAAAGUACAGCGAGGGAAAUAUGAAAAGGACUUUGAAAAGAGAGUUAAAGAGUGCUUGAAAUUGCUGGGAGGGAAGUAGAUGGAGGCUGUUGAUGUGUCUCGGUCAGAUGUGGAACGACUUAGGCUGGUCUGCCGCUCGACUUGAGGUGCAAACCAACACGAGCUGCUGCAUCGUCACAAGCGCAGAUGGAUUAUUGCCUGUCGGUUUGCCAUUGCGGUGAUCGAGAAACAAAUCAUGUGCCCUUGUGGUGGGCUACGUGGACCUAUGCGGUCAUGGUGUUGGUUGGCAGGCUUUCCAUUCGACCCAUCUUGAAACACGGACCAAGGAGUCUAACAUGUGUGCGAGUUGGCGGGUUUGAAAACUUGCGAGGUGCAAGGAAUCUAACAGGCAAGAUGCCCUCUCUAGGCGGGUGCAUCGUCAACUGACCUUGAACUUAUGCGAAGGGUUCGAGUGCGAGCACACCUAUUGGGACCUAAAAGAUGGUGAACUAUGCCUGAGCAGGACAAACCCAUAGGAAACUCUAGUGGAGGCUCAUAGCGAUACUGAUAUGAAAAUCAUUCAUCUAACUUGGGUAUAGGGGCAAAAGACUAAUCGAACCAUCUAGUAGCUAGUUUCCUUCGAAGUUACCCUCAAGAUAGAUAGAGCUCACGUGCAAGUUUUAUCGGGUAAAGAAAAUGAUUAGAGGCAUGAGGGGCAUAAUGCCCUUGACCUAUUCUCAAAAUUUAAAUAGGUAAGAGGGUGUGGUUGCUCCAUUCAGCCAUGCCGUGGAAUCGAGAGCUCCAAGUGGGCCAUUUUUGGUAAGCAGAACUAACGAUGCGUGAUGAACCAAAAGUCGAGUUAUGGUGCCAAAUUUCACACUAACCUAUAUCCCACAAAGGGUGUUAGUUGAUUAAGACAAUAGGAUGGUGGUCAUGGAAGUCAAAAUCGACUAAGAAGUGUGUAACAACUCACCUGCCGAAUCUACUAGCCCCAAAAAUGGAUGGCACUGAAGCACGCAACCUAUACUUGACUGUUGGAGUAAUUUCUUGGCUCCGAUGAGUAGGAGGACAUGGGGGUCAUUCAGAAACCUCAGGCGUGAGCUUGGGUGCAGUGGCCCCCAGUGUAGAUCUUGGUGGUAGUAGCAAAUACUCAAAUGAGAACUUUGAAGACUGAAGUGGGGAAAGGUUCCAUGUGAACCUCACUUGGACAUGGGUUAGUCGAUCCUAAGAGAUGGGGAAGCCUUGUAUCAAGGGUGCACUCUGCAUGAGCAUCGAAAGGGAAUCGAGUUAAUAUUCCCAAACUGGGACAUGGUGGUGGUCGGCAACGUUAGGAAAUCUGGAGACGUCGUCAGGGACCCGGGAAGAGUUAUCUUUUCUUUUUAACAGCUUGCCCACCCUGGAAUCGGUUCACCUGGAGAUAGGGUCCAGAAACUAGAAGAGCACCACACAUCUUGCAGUGUUUGAUGUGUCCUCGGUGACCCUUAAAAAUAUGGAGGACCGAGUACCAUUCAUGCUCGGUUGUACUCAUAACCACAUCAGGUCUCCAAGGUGAACAACCUCUAGUCAACAAAACGAUCUAGGUAAGGGAAGUCAGCGAAACGGAUCUGUAACUUCGAGAAAAUGGUUGUCUCUGAGGGCUGGGCCUAGGGGUCUGUGCCUUCAAAUCGUGGGCUUUCGGCAGUUUGCCCGAGCUGCUCUGGCGGCGAGGGCGAGUGGUCGUGUGCCGAUUGGGCUACGGGUGUAGAAUUCCCCUUAUUGGGGGCUUUCCCUAGGAGUUGAAUAGUCGACUCAGAAUUGGUACAUACACUAUUUAAUUAAAACAAAGCAUUGUGAUGGUCCUUGCGGAUGCUGACGCAAUGUGAUUUCUGUCCAGUGCUCUGAAUGUCAAAGUGAAGAAAUUAAAGCAAGCACAAGUAAACGGCGGGAGUAACUAUGACUCUCUUAAGGUAGCCAAAUGUCUCGUCUCUAAUUAGUGAUGCACAUGAAUGGAUUAACGAGAUUUCCAUUGUCCCUGUCUACUAUCUAGCGAAAUCACAGCCAAGGGAAUGGGCUUGGCAGAAUCAGCAGGGAAAAAAGACCCUGUUGAGCUUGACUCUAGUCCAACUUCGUGAAAUGAGUUGAGAGGUGUAGAAUAAGUGGGAGUUGUUUUCAGCGCAAGUGAAAUACCACUACUUUUAAAGUUAUUUUAUUUAUUUUGUGGGGAAGAGAAGGGUACUGCCCAUGUUUUUGGCCUUAAGGCACGUUUCGGCAGGUCUAUCUAGGCGAAAGACAUUGUUAGGUGGGGAUUUUUGCUGGGGUGGCACAUCUAUUAAAAGAUAAUGCAGGUUUCCUAAGAUGAGCUCAACGAGAACAGAAAUCUCGUGUGGAACAAAAGGGUAAAAGCUCAUUUGAUUUUUAUUUUUAGUGCAAAUAAAAACCGUGAAAGUAUGGCCUAUCGAUCCUUUAGAUUUCAGAAUUUGAAGCUAGAGGUGUCAGAAAAGUUACCACAUGGAUAACUGGCUUGUGUGGCAGCCAAGCGUUCAUAGUGACGUUUCUUUUUUAUCCUUCGAUGUUAGCUCUUCCUAUCAUUGUGAAGCAGAAUUCACCAAGUGUUGGAUUGUUCACCCACCAAUAGGGAACAUGAGCUAGGUUUAGAAUGUCGUGAGAAAGGUUAGUUUUACCCUACUGAUGAACUGCAUCGCAAUAGUAAUUCAACUUAGUGUGAGAGGAAUCGUUGAUUCACACAAUUGGUCAUCACGCUUGGUUGAAAAGCCAGUGGUGCAAAGAUACCAUGUGUCAAAUUAUGACUGAAUUCCUCUAAGUCAUAAUAUACACUAGAAGAGGUGCAUGUCACUCUUCGACUGUAUUUAGACCAGUAGUAGGGGCAUCGCUUUGUUUCCCGUAGGGGCCCGUGUCAUUUGCAAACGACGACCGUGAAGCAUCUCGGUCGGGGGAGCUUUGAAGUUCAAUUCCAAAUGGUCGUUGAGAAGAAUCCUUUGUAGAUGACUCAAAUACUCGAUGGGGUAUUGUAAGUGGUACAGUGGCCUUGUUCCCAUGAUCCACUAAGAUUCAGCCCUUGGUCGCCUCAAUUCAG
rnacentral:rRNA from 1 species